AUGGCCUUCUAAUCGAAUGGGAAAAAGUGUGCCCUGUGCUUGAAUCCUACGGUCUCGAGAUAUGAGAUAUUUAAACCCCAAAUUUUUAUUUUCUCUCAUUUCUUCAUCUCUUUCUCGAAUGCUGUCUCCUCUCUUUCUUCUCUCUUCCCUCUUCUUCGAGCAUUCUCAAAAUAAAACCCUAGGGUUUCGUGUUCUUCUAUCUAAUCAAAUCUCUCUUGAAACCCUAACCUUAUCUCUCUCUCUCUCUGAAGUUCGUCUGAAUCUCUUUUCCUUCUCUCCUCUUCCUUCUAUGUUUUUCUCUAUUCUUUAUCUCAAUCUUCCUCUAAUCUCCUAUCUCUCUUCUUCCAUCUAUCUACAAUCCCCCACGAAUUAAACCCUAGGGUUUCUAAUCUCCGACUCCCUAUCUCUACAACCUUAACUGAAACCUUAGCCUCAGCUCUUAUUCUUGAUCUCUCUAAUCUUUUUAUCAUCUCUCUCGCGAAGGCUUUCUUCAUGAAAACCCCAAACCUCCGAUCUCUUUAAUCUCUCUAUGUCUCAUUGUCUAUGUUCUCCACAAAUGAAACUGAGAUCCUAAUCUCCCUUUGAUUGCCCUCCUCUCUGCUUUUCUCACUUAAGCUUUUUGCGACCCACCUCUUCUUCUUUGAGCCUUACUCCUUAGAUCUCAAACUCUCUCGGUUCUCACUAUUCUCUUUGUUCACUGCAUAACAAACCCAAAGUUCUUAAUCAUCUCUCUCUCUAAUCUCGGCAGAUUUGAAGUUUUUUUGGUCACGAUGAAACCAACCCGAAACCCUAAGUGUUUUCUGUUCUCGAAAGACCGAGAUUGCGAGGAUGAGGACCCAUUUGACAAACACAGAUAAGUAUUUCUCCCUGCCUUUUUUAUUUUUUUCUUGAAACUUGAUUAUUAUGAUAUGUGAAUGUGUGAUCUGAAUAUGGUGAUCUUGGUUUCUGGUUCGAAGGAUUAGGGUCCCAGGUUGAAGAUGAGUUAACUCGUCUCAACCCAGUGAGUAGGUAACGAGUUGACUUGCAUGAGUCAACCCAAAGGGAUGAGUGGACUCGGGUGGACCCGAGAGAGCAACUUGAGCUCUGAUAUGUGUUCGACUUGAACAUGUGGGGGCUUCAUGUAUAUUUUAAAAUGGGUUUUGGGCCUGGGUUUAAAAAUGACAAAUGGGUCUGGGUCUUUUAAUAUGCAAAUGGGCAGGUUUUUUAGAAAUGGCUUGGCUAUUUUGAAAGGGUUGUGGGCUUUGGUUCAUUUUAAAACAUGCGGGCCUAGGUUAGUUUUAAAAAUGGGCUGGUUCUUUAAAAAUAGAAAUGGGCUUUUAGGUUAGCAAAAUGGGCCUCGAGUGUUAAAAGGAGAUAGGUUCGGGUUUUUUUUAAAACCAACUAGGCUUGAGUAGAACAUGUGGGCUUUGGGUAGUUUUAAAAUAAAUGGGCUCACGGUUUGAAAAUGGAGUGGGCCUGGGGGAUUUUAAAACCAAUAGGCUUUGGUUGUUUUUAAAUGGGCUUGAGUUUGAUUUGAAAAAAAAAAAAAAAAAAAAAAAUGCUCGGGGUGGAUUGUUUUUUUUUUUUUUAAUCUUUUAACAAUUAGGCCUUUGAGUUGGGUUCGAGCAAGUCUAGGCUUCAGUUUUACAAUAUGAGAGUUCGGCCUCGGGCCUGCUUUAAACUUUGGCUCGGGUUCUUUUUCGGGUACGAGGUUUGAGAUGUUAAAUGGGUCAAAGGAUUAAUACCCGAGUUUGGGUUUGGUAAGGGUCUGGUGAGGGUUCGGAUCCCUAGUUUAGGUUAGAGGUUCGGGGUAGAGGAACUGGGCUUUGGUUCAGUGGGUGUCGGGUUUGGAGGUUCUAGCUUAGGUCAAAGGAUUCAAACCUAAGUUCGGGUUUCGGGUCCUACUCUCACCUCAGGUUCUGGGAGUUAUUUAGUCUAGCUUCAGUGAUUCAGUUUAGGUUUGCGUGUGAACCUAAGACUUAGAUGUGAGUACCUACAUUUGCAAUUUUUCCAUAUUGUAGUAUCUGAAGUUAAAAUAGGGACAAGGAGUCAAAUUUACCUAUAAUCCUCUACUCCUUUGGUCUUCUUCCCCUACCUCUGUGUUUGUUUGGGCUUGUUUGAUCUGGUAUUCUAACUGUGUGGUGUGUCCCAAGUUUUGCUCUACUUCUAGUUCCUUUAUAUUAUGCUCUCUUCCUUUUGCUCUCUGUAAUACACCCUGCUUUUUGCUAUCCUAAUUCUGCAGAGUCUUACAGCUCUCCAGUCAACAGAGCUGCCUUUAUUGCUAUCAUUUUUUGCAGAGCUCUCAUCUUUUUAAUAUUUUUAAUUGCCCCUCCCCUAAUUCUCUCUGUCUUUUUUCUUUCUUAUCCCCCAUUCUCUUAGAUGCCUCUUCCAAUGCAUUGUGUGAGGCAGCCUGUUUGGCAACAAAAUGCUUCUUCAGUGGGAUUGUUCUAACAGAAUUCCCCUUUUAUUCUUGCCAUGCUGGAUGCUUGGGCAUUGCCUCCAGCUAUGCCAGCUGGCAACAAGGGACUAGGUCUUCUUGAGUUUUCAUUCUCCUGUAUUUAUUAUUUUUGUAAUUUUUUUCUGUAUAUUUUUCACAUAUUGGAUGUACCCCCGUAUUGCCUUUCCCUGUAACAUUUCCUUGUGUGCUUGUGCCAUUUUUGUACUUCCUUGUAUGUAACUUUUCAUGUAUUUGGGUUGGAAUUUCCCUGUAUUUUUAUUUCUCUGUAUCCUUUCACUUGAGCACGUGCCCCUCCCCUUUUAAUAAAAUGUGUGACUUCAUUUUAA